CUGGCUGCUUGGCUCUGAGAACUGAAUUCCAUAGGUGUUAAAGCCUCCAAAAACGCCCUAUGGAUUCAGUUCUGCAGCUGGGCAGCAAAUA
rnacentral:pre_miRNA from 1 species